rnacentral:lncRNA from 1 species
AUCCUAACCUUUAGGUUUAGGGAUUGACUGGGUUUCUGACUUUUUAUUUGGCCAAUGAGGACGAUACAGAAAAUGAAGCAUUGGUCAUUAUCACAUUUUAACGCUGAAAAAGUAAGAAGGACAACCCCGGAAUAAAAUGAUAUCAGUAUCAAGAUAAAAGUUUGGAAUGGGAGAAAAAUUCUCAAAGCCUGAAAGAAAAUCUGAGAUGCUUGGAGUGUAAAGAUCCCAUGGUCACAUAAAUCCGGAAAGCACUGAAUACUUUGUUUCCCAUAAGAGAAUCCCAUUAUAUGUUGAUGUAUUAAAAGACCUGAGAACCUGGUGUAGUUACUUUUGGUGACGCUGUCCAGUUCCCACAAUGUAUCAUUCCUUAUCUGAAACUAGACAUCCUCUGCAGCCAGAAGAACAAGAAGUAGGCAUUGACCCCUUGUCCAGUUACUCUAACAAGUCUGGAGGAAAGAAUGGGAAGAACUAUUUGUAAACAACAAUUACUUGGCAACAAUAAGGCAGAAGGGGAUUAAUGGGCAGCUGAGAAGCAGCAGGUUCCGCAGCAUUUGCUGGAAG